AGGCCGAGCACGUCCUGGAGCUGCGCGCUCGCCUGCCGCGGCGAGAGUACACCGGCACGCUGUCGGCCCGCACCGAGGGCGGCAACUAUAAGGUCAAGGCCCGACCUGCAGCUAGGCCGCCGCAUCAUGACCGUCGUCAGUGUGCGUCCAGGUGGUCCGGAAAUGAACGCCAACUUUGAGCUGUUCUGGAAUAAAGACGUCGAUGAUAGUCAACACGUAAUCAUGGAGAUCUCAAGGCGGGGUUACGACCUGUCGGCUAAGCUACGGUACCCUGGCCGUCAAGUCCAGCUGCUAGCCGGUUUGAUUCAAGUGGCGUGCGUGCUUCUCUGGAGUACGCUCCCGACAAGAUCAUUUUGUUGGAGGGCAGAGUGGCUGUGCAGAGCAACAACAAGCUCGCUCUGCACCUCAACAUUCAGACACCUCUGCCAGGCUACAGAACCU